rnacentral:rRNA from 1 species
UACAGAGGGUGCGAGCGUUGUUCGGAAUUAUUGGGCGUAAAGCGUCCGUAGGUGGCUAGUCAAGUCUGCGGUCAAAGACUGGGGCUUAACCCUGGAAAGGCCGUGGAAACUGACGAGCUAGAGUGCAGUAGGGGUAGAGGGAAUUCCCGGUGUAGCGGUGAAAUGCGUAGAGCUCGGGAAGAACAUCGGUGGCGAAAGCGCUCUACUGGACUGCAACUGACACUCAGGGACGAAAGCUAGGGGAGCGAAUGGG